UACGUAGGGGGCUAGCGUUGUCCGGAAUCAUUGGGCGUAAAGAGCGUGUAGGCGGCCAGGUAGGUCAGCUGUGAAAACUCGAGGCUCAACCUCGAGACGCCGGUUGAAACCAUCUGGCUAGAGUCCGGAAGAGGAGAGUGGAAUUCCUGGUGUAGCGGUGAAAUGCGCAGAUAUCAGGAAGAACACCCGUGGCUAAGGCGGCUCUCUAGUACGGUACUGACGCUGAGACGCGAAAGCGUGGGGAGCGAACAGG
rnacentral:rRNA from 1 species